rnacentral:lncRNA from 1 species
CAGCACUUUGGGAGGCCGAGGCGGAUGGAUCACGUGAAGUCAGGAGUUCCAGACCAGCCUGGCCAACAUGGCGAAACCCUGUCUCUACUAAAAAUACAAAAAUUAGCCGGACGUGUGCCUGUAAUCCCAGCUACUUGGGAGGCUGAGGCAGGAGAAUCACUUGAAACCCAGGGGGCAGAGGUUGCAGCGAGCUGAGAUCACGUCACUUCACUCCAGCCUGGUCGACAGAGUGAGACUCCAUCUCAAAAAAAAAAAAAUUGUGUCACAUUUUGGUGGUGGUGUGUGGACCAGGACAAACUUCCCAGCAAUUUUUCUUCUUUGUACAUUUCCAAUUACUUGCAGAUUGAUCAUCUAAGCGUUCAGACUGCUGAGAUGAAUAUAUAUAACUUUCUGAGACUCAAUAUUUUAAGCUAUAAAAAACUUCCUGAAGUUAUCCUUUUCUCCCUACUUUGAACCAAAGGCAAGAAUUUUUAAAGAACUGUUUUAUCAAUGGCCUGGCUCCUGGAUAUAGUUCCGGAAGUUAAGACCAGUUGCCUUGUUAAGUGUGUUGACAGCACAGCUACCCUGUUUGGCUGUGAAUCCAGAAUGUGAUGAAGAACAGUCAUUCCCACUGAGGUCUUUAGCCCUGUUCUUGGACCUCUGCUCUUGCAGAAAAGGAGCACAACGUAGGACUAUGGCUCACCCGUCAGAGAGCUCACAUUCUGAUAGAAAGCACUGGGAUUGUUUAAAUAUCCUAGUUCAACAUUAAAAAAAAAAAAAAUUUAAUCCCAGCACUUUGGGAGGCCAAGGCGGGCAGAUCACGAGGUCAGGAGAUCGAGACCAUCCUGGCUAACACGGUGAAACCCCGUCUCUACUAAAAAAAUACAAAAAAAUUGGCCAUGCGUGGUGGCGGGCACCCAUAGUCCCAGCUACUCGGGAGGCUGAGGCAGGAGAAUGGCGUGAACCUGGGAGGCGGAGCUUGCAGUGAGCUGAGAUGGCGCCACUGCACUCCAGCCUGGGCCACAGAGUGCGACUCCAUCUCAAAAAAAAAAAAAAAACCAGGAUGUUACCCCCUUGGUUUUAAAGCAAAUUUAAUAAGGGAACAAAAAGAUGAUACUAAGAAGAAGGCAAGUAAAACCCCUAGUCUUCCAUUAGCUCUUUCACUGGAAUUUGAGUAUAUUGUACAUGAAGGUUGGUUUUCAAUUUGAACGUCUAGAAAGAUACUCAUUUCUAAUACCUAUGCACUGUAGUUUCAGGUUUACUUGCAGACACCCUGGUAGGGUUAAGAGGAGGAUAUUUCCAAGUUAUUUUAAAUUGAGUUUACUUUUAACUGGGGUUCUUGACUCUAGUGUAAUUGCUCCAACAACUACGUAGAAGUCAAAAUGAGUGACUUUAGUGAAGCUUCUGUACUUUACAAUACAUGACAGUAAUGCUAUUCCAGAAGUUUUGUUUUGUUUUGUUUUGAGAUGGAGUCUCGCUCUGUCUCUCCCAGGCUGGAGUGCAGUGGCACAAUCUCGGCUCACUACAGCCUCCACCUCCCGGUUUCAAGCAAUUCUCCUGUCUUAGCCUCCUGAGUAGCUGGGACUACAGGCAUGCGCCACCACACCUGGCUAAUUUUGUAUUUUUAGUAGAGAUGGGGUUUCACCAUGUUGGCCAGGCUGGUCUCAAACUCUUGACCUCAGGUGAUCUACCCGCCUCGGCCUCCCAAAGUACUGGGAUUACAGGAGGGAGCCACCAUACCUGGCCCGCGCCGCCCCUUCCUUUGUUGUUAUUGUUGUUUUGAGACAAGGUAUCACUCGAUCACUGAAGCUGGAUACAGUGGCAAGAUCAUAGCUCACUGUAACCUCAAACUCCUGGGCACAAGGGAUCCUCGCAUCUCAGCCUCCCAAGUAGCUUGGACCACAGGAAAGUACCACCAUGCCCAGCUAAUGUUUUUUCAUUUUUUGUGCAGACGAGGUUUUGCUAUGUUGUCCAGGCUGGUCUCAGACUACUGGCCAGAAGCGAUCUUACCUCCUCAGCCUCCCAAAGCACUGGAAUUACAGAGUAACAUCUAAUUUUAAUAUUCACAUUCCUAUUUUAAUAUUCAUAUUCGAUGAUGGCACUUAGCAACAUCCUCCUAUAUCCAUAUUAAAACCUGUUUUCCAAGAUUGUGUCUAAUAUGAAGGUGUAAAAUUGCUUUGUUUUCACUCCUUCUUGAAUGAAUAAAUUUGAUAGUAACC